UCUGGGCGUGAGGACAAAACAAUUUGGACAUUUUUUGAAAGAUUAGGUAGGAAGGAAACAGGAAUUCUGAAGAGGACUGUGAUGGAGGCAUUUCAGAUGGUGAUUGAGG
rnacentral:sRNA from 1 species